CCUGGCAGAGCCCGUCCAGAAAAGAGAAACUGUGAGGAUCCUGAGCCUGCCCGUCCAGGAACCCAAAUUGCAGAGCAUCUGCUACAGUUUUGGCUGGGGCAGCAUCCAACCUGGGGGACUCAGGGACCCUACUGAUCUGUGAUGGUAUGCUUCAAGGAAUCACGUCCUGGGGCCACAUCCCAUGUCGCUGCCCCACUACGCCUGCUGUCUACACCAAAGUGAUGCCCUACGUGCAGUGGAGAAAGAGACCGUAUUGGCCAACAGUUGAAUGCUCCUGCCUUCCCCCUCCCCUUACUCAAAUCAAAUACACAUGAAAAUCUGGCAUCCUCUGGCUUUUCCAGAUGUGGAGGACCCACCCAGCCUGUGUCCCGAAGGGGAAGGGUGUGGGAAACAGAACACUACAAUGACCAGAGGCGCAUAUUCAUUCAGGCUCCAAGAUCUGAGAGAACUCGAGAUGGAGAUUGUAAGGUUAAAAACGACCUGAGAGGACCUGAGUGAAUCAGCCCUUGGGAAACGUGGUCUGUUCUUUAGUACGCACAUAAGGAUGUUUUGCUCAAAGGAAGCCAGCUGUAUAUGGCACAGUGCGUUCACUCCCGUCUUUGUCUUUGCUUCUGUCGUAAAGAUUCUUAUCAGAACGUACGUAUCUGCUCUCCUACGCAAGAUACGUACAAUAGCUGAAUCAGAUGUACAUUGUGGACAUGCUUUGCUAAGUUUCUGUUAAUCAUUGCUGAUCUGUUUUUCCUGAGAACGUAUAUAAGAAGAUGUACAACAAACCUUGGGGCCUCCGGCUGUUGGCUCGGGGUCCCCUGUGCCUCGCUA